GCCAGCCGCGGCGGUAAUACGAAGGGGGCGAGCGUUGUUCGGAAUUACUGGGCGUAAAGGGCGCGUAGGCGGCUCUUUAAGUUAGGCGUGAAAGCCCGGGCCAACCUGGGAACUGCGCUUAAGACUGAAGAGCUAGAAAACGGAAGAGGGUAGUGGAAUUCCCAGUGUAGAGGUGAAAUUCGUAGAUAUUGGGAAGAACACCAGUGGCGAAAGCGGCUACCUGGUCCGGAUUUGACGCUGAGGCGCGAAAGCGUGGGGAGCAAACAGGAUUACGAUACCCUGGUAGUCCACGCCGUAAGCGGUGGGCGCUAGGUGUGGGGAACAUUCCACGUUCUCCGUGCCGCAGCUAACGCAUUAAGCGCCCCGCCUGGGGAGUACGGCCGCAAGGCUAAAACUCAAAGGAAUUGACGGGGGCCCGCACAAGCGGCGGAGCAUGCGGCUUAAUUCGAUGCAACGCGAAGAACCUUACCUAGGCUUGACAGUUGGGGAAAUCUGGCAGAGAUGCCAGGUCCGUAAGGGCCCCAAAACAGGUGGUGCAUGGCU
rnacentral:rRNA from 1 species